GCUACACCCAUAGCAUAUGGAGGUUCCCAGGCUAGGGGUCAAAUCUGAGCUGCAGCUGCUGGCCCACACCACAGCCACAGCAACACUACAUCCAAGCUGUGUCUGCAACCUACACCACGGCUCACAGCAAUGCCAGAUCCUUAACCCAUUGAACGAGGCCAGGGAUUGAACCCACAACCUCAUGGUUCCCAGUCAAAUUCCUUUCUGUUGUGCCAUGACGGGAACUCCUGGCCAAAUUUUAAUGUUGGUUGCAUUUUAGCCUAUAAAGGUUCUGUCUCUACACAGACACUGUCAUUUUAAUAUAGCAUUAAUUGCAGUUAUGGGCAGGGUACUUAUGUCUUUUACAAUCCCACCAACACCAUUCAGCCUAAUCCUCUAAAAUGGGUGAUAAGCUAUUCCUUAACUUAAAGCUUGCCAAAUAUGCCUGCUGCACUAGAGCCCCUACAAACAAUAAGAAGCAGCCCAAGAGUCACUAAGGCCCCAUGCUGUCCAGCUGUCACUUCAAAGGUUGUCAUUUCCAUCCAUCCACCUGACAUGCUGCCAUUUAUACAUUAUGGAAGCUGGUCCCCCAGCCUGUUUCAAAGACCCAGAUAAAGUGCCCACUCUUCAUGAUGAAGUGUGUGAAUGUACUGAUGAAUACUCUACAGAGCUUGGCAGCCUUCCUUGCGCUCUUUCUUCCUCUGGUAGCAACUUUCUUACCCUCCUCCAUUCAACUGAAAUGUCACAUCUUCAGGGGACCCAGACCAACCUACGCCAUAGAUCAUUCCUGUCUGUAUCAUUCACAGCAGUUUCACCACCUGUAAUCAUUUCUAUUUCUAUUUACCUUCUUUCUAACUAGAAAGCAACCUUCACCUUUCCCAGGGCACAGACAGUGCCUGUUGACUGAAUAUCAAAGAAUAGUGAGACAACACUAUCAGAGACAAUUUUGAGUAGAAACGAAAAAGGAAGAUUGCUUGCUGGUUUUGUUCAUGGAAUCUCAUAUACUUUUGUUUUGCUUAUCAAAAAAUCAAUGACUUCUGGAGUCCUGUUGUGGCUCAGUGGAAAUGAAUCUGAAUAUUCAUGAGGAUUCAGGUUUGAUCCCUGGCCUUGCUCAGCAGGUCAGGGAUCCAGCAUUGCUGUGGGCUGUGGUGUAGGUAGCAGACACAGCUCAGAUCCCAAUUUGUUGUGGCUGUGGCACUGGCCAACAGCUACAGCUCUGAUUUGACCCCUAACCUGGGAACUUCCAUAUGCCACAGGUGUGGCUCUCAAAAAAAAAAAAAAGAAAAAAAAUUGCAGAAAAAAAAUUAACAACUUCUGACUGUAACUGGAUCAAAAUGUUGGGGCAGUCUCCAGCAGACAGCCAUCUAGGCUCUUGAGUGUUAACCAGAGCGAGGUAGGUACAUCUUUUUCAUGUGGUGCCUUCCACCUUGUGGAGCUGAACCCAGGGUUGACAGAGACCUGAGAGUCAGGAUGGAAUAUAUUUUUUAAAAAAUAGUAGCUGACAUUAGUGUCACCAGAAUCGAGAGGGGCCCAGAGCUAUGAGUCUGACUGCAAGACAAGCAGGCAGGGGCCGAAAGUCUGUGAGUGUUUAAGGGAAGAUGCCAUACUGUCUUAAAGAUUCUUGGCCCCUAGAGCAGCAGUCCCUCCUGCAUGGGGGCAUCGUCUGGGAACCAAGUGUCAGGAACCAAGAGAAAUGGCUAAUAUCAUCUAGCUGAGGAUAUCCAACUGGCCACAUUUAGCUAAAUGUGGGGAGGAGAUGAAAACUUGAGAGUGGAGGACAAGAAUCAUCAGCUAGAGAUGAGCAAAUAUUUUCAUACUCUGAGUAAACUGGCAGGUCAAGCAACUAGAUUAGUAUCCAUUCAUCCAUCCAUCCAUCCAUCCAUCCAACCAUCCAUCCAACCGAUCAUCCAUUAUCCACUGGGAUCUUGUAAUGGACCCGCAGCAUCAUGCUUGACCCUAAGGAUACAGAGAAAAGACUCGACAAUGUCUUUGAGGAGUUCAUGGUCUAGUAAGGAGACAGGCAUUUAAAUGGAUAAAUACAACACAGUGAUCUAUGCCAUAACAGCAACUGUACUGGGAACUUUGAGCUCAGAGAAGGAAGCUCCACCCCCCCCACCCCACCCACCCUCCCCACCCCUGUUAUGCCAAGGAGUUGGAAUUUGCAUUGAUCCUUGAAGGAGGACAUGGAGUUUCCCAGGGGGAGAAAAUGGGGUGGAUCCUUUUAGACAGAGAAAGAAAAGCAGCUAGUUGUGGGAGAAUCUGGAAUGUUUAGGGAUCCACAGACAUUUAAGGUGGAUGAAAUGUGAGGUAUGGAGGGGAGCUGUUGUGAGAGAGACUACAGUGGGGGUGGCCUGAUGGCGGAAGCCCUUGUGUACCUCACCAUGAAGUUGGAGUACCAUUUUCCUAUGAAUGAGAAGUCUCUGGAAAAGAACUGCAUGACUAGGUUUUUGGUUUUUUUAUGCACACACACAUAAGAUAGACAAUUCUGGGUGGAAGAAAAUGUCUAGAAGGCCACAGGAUUGGAAAGCCAGCUUGAUAACUGUUCGUGAGAGAUGCCCAGCCAAAGAUAACUGACCUUAUUUUCUAGACCAAGCAUCCAAUCUCAAAUGCCUUCAAAGUCUGAUAAUAAGUGUAUGAAGUUUCUGGGUGUGAGUAUUCUGUCUAAAGAAUUCAAAUUCAAAUGUCAAAAAUGCUCUGCCAAACCAAUCACAUGAGUGGCCAGUAUAACUUUACUCAGUGAGCCUGUGAUUUCUGCUGUAGAAAUUGGGGAGUUGGAGGUGAUUUCUGAUGAGGAGAAUUGUAGUGGAUGCUGUUGGUAUUGGUGCUCUCUGCCCAGAUCCCAUUGGUUCACCUUGGAGGUCAUCUGAGACAGCUGCCCUCAACUCAAGCUGAUGGUUUCCUGCAUCUCUCUGCCUGACAACACUCCCUGGGCCAGGAAGUGUGCCUGGCCACAUAAAGGACUAGUGAGAAGUGUCAGGGCUUUACCAUCCCCAAACAACCCUCAAGCUGGAUACACUUGAGGGAGUGAAGGACAGGAGUAGCUGGAUACACCUCUCUGCUUCCUUGCCCCUUUAUGGGACACUGCUGAAGUCCACACCAUUUUUCAAAGGGUCCCCAGCAGGACUGAGCCUCAGUUUCCCACAGCAGUACCUGAUUCAUUAAAGCAACUUCACUGGCUGUCUUAAGAGGGGUCUGAAACACAGACCCAGAAGUGGAGAUUUGCCCAUAGGAAGUUUAUUGGGGAUUUCCCUUGAGAUCAACACAUAGAGGAAGAGAGGAAGCAGGACUAGAUAAAAGAAGCUAUUGUACCACAGUGCAAUUAUAGCCUCAAAAGAUCCCACAGGAAGCCCUGGAGCUAGGACUUCAGAGUUGAACUACUUGAGACUGCGGUGGGGGACAGGCUAUUAAAUCCACACAUUGGCUAGUCAGUGGAGGUAGGCUGUCCCUAGAGCAGGACCUGGGUGAGGCUGCUCUCCUCUGCUGACAGCAAUUCCCAGGGAGGGACUCAGCUCAGAGCCACCUGCCAAUACCAAUACCAAUACCAAUACCAAUACCAAUACCAAUACUGUGAGAACCUGGGGGAAUGAGUGCCUCAGGCCUGGUGGGGAGUGGGUGGUCUGGGUAGGGAGCUACAGCACCCAUUAUGUCUUCUUUCCUCCUUUCCCUGCCUUUCUUCUCACUCUCUCACCAUCCUGAGGUUAUCUCCAAAUGAACUACCUAUACCCACAUUCUUGUCUCAGGGUCUGCUCUCGGGGAAACCUAAACAAAGAUGGGAAUUGUAGGAGCUGCAUUUUUAUUUUAUUUAUUUUUAAUUUUUUAUUGGUUAUGCCCAAGGCAUGCAGAAAUUUUCAGGUCAGGUGAGAGAAGUUAAUUGGAUUUUGGAAAUUUUGCACUUGAGGUGCCAGUGUGCUAUCUGAGUGGAGUUGUCCAUCAAGCGAGUGGAUAUUCAGGUCAAAAAGAUAAACUGAAGAGUUAGGUAGAUGACAGAGGUAGUUGAAACAAUAGAAGAAAUUGUUAAGGGAGAGAGUAAGGACAUGGAGAAAUCAACUAACAAUACUGGACAGUAUACUAGGGCUGAGGGCAGAUCCUUAGAAAGACCAAUACCUACAAGAUCAAAAAAGGAGGUAACAGUGGAGAGCAGUGCUCAGUGAUGGCAAAUAGCAGGUCCACCAAAUCCCAUUCUUCCUUGCUCCACCCACUGCAGACAUCACUAAUUGAUCACCAUGAUUUUUUCCACAGAGCUUGGACUUGCUUCAGAAUCCUUCCCAACAAUAGAAGUAACACUAACCUAUCAGAUUUGGCCCUUGAGAGAAAACCCUUUGCUAUCCUUGGCAUCACAGAAGCUAAGAAAAGAAAGGCUUGCCCAAAGAAGUGGGUGGGUGGGAACCAUAUUCAGUACUAAGAAGCAGAUGAGAACAAAGCCUGAAAAAAAGCCAGCUGGGCUGAAUGAAGAGGAGGUCCUACGGACCGUGGAGAACUGUUUUAGGAGCAGCAGGACAGCAAUCAGAGUGCAGGAUUCAAGCAGAUGCUGGCAUUUCCAUCUGCUAUCUGUUCAAGGGAGCACUGUACUAGGAGUGGGAAGUUUACGCUGUAAUCACCAAGUUCUUAGUAACCCACUGUGAUGCUACACUUUUUAUCUUGAGAAAUAAAAACAAUUUGAUCUUGGGAAGCAGUUAACAAUUACAUUUUGUCAGUGGAUAAAAUUUUACUUAAUUUUCUAAACCUGUUUUAAGAGUGCCAUGUGCUCCUUAUUUCUCAAAUACAUUAGAUUAGCCCAUAUGCAAUAUGCAUUUUGUUUGCAUAUUCCACAAUUGCAUUUGGUGGGUGCUGGAAAAGAUUUCAGAAAAAAUUCCUAAAUGCCAGUGGCUGCUGAUGUGGCAUAAGCAUUUGGCAACAGUAUCUUCUGCUUGCUAUAUUUAUGGCAUUUGACAUAAGCACCUAACACAAAAUCAGAAAUGGUCAGGAGAUGGCUCGUAGAAGAAAAUGAUCAAGAGACUCGGUCCCAGUAACCGUCUCAGCUCUGGCUCUAACUUAGAGUUGACCUUGGGUGAGUCGCUUAACCUCUGUAGUCCUUUGCUUCUUCAUCUAGAAAAUGAGAGUCCUGGCCUUGGGCAUUCUAGCUGAGAGGAGGUCUAUGAUUCAUCUCUGGCCAACCCACCGUUACCCCCAAAUUCAUCAGGCAGGGUCCUCAUCAAUAAUUUAUAGACACCUGCAGGUCAACUCUGCAUUAUCAGGUUUCUCUGACUCAUUCUGCUUUUAGUUAAAUUAAAACUCCCUUCUCCCUGCCAUCUGAAGACACCACCCAAAGUCUGAAGUUUUAGAGGUGAGAGUUGAUGACAUCUAAGUUGCUUUCAAAAUUCAACAUUUCUAGGAAGGGGCCAUCAGUAUUAAUUAAGUGCUGGCAGAUCUCAGGAUUCCUUAGUGUUCUAAAAAAAUGGGCCAACUUACUCAUCCUGUGUGCCCACGAGGGAUUUGGAUAUACCUGCAGAUGUGGUUACUGUUUCAAUUGGGCCUCAUCCAAAGGCCACAACACUCUGCUUCCUGCAAUUCAAGUGUGUUCAUACAGAAAAUUCUGAUGAAUACCUAAAGAAUUAAGCAACCCCCCUGGCCAAAACCAUUGAAGUCAUUGGGUAAGCUUGAAAGAAAGAACGGGUAUUAUAUUAUUGUUAUGAUAAAUCAGAGGUCAGGGUUUUGUGCCAGCUGUGCAUUUCUUUGAAUCCUGUGUUAUGAAGAACUGUGAAAGGAUCCAGAGCAAGGAAAGAAGGGAAGCAUCUAGAAUCUCUCCAGAGAUGCACUGCAUCCUUCAGA
rnacentral:lncRNA from 1 species